GUCCCAGUAGCCCAGUAUAAAAUCUUACUCGCUCGGAACACAGGGGUAUGUUCGGAAAAACAAAGAAAUUAACCCAUGUUAUUCUCGUUUUAAUAUACUAUAGUUUCGGCUAUGUCAAAGUUACUACUGAUAAAAACCAAAGAGGUUUGGCCUUACCUUGCAUAGCAAGACAGACAAAGAUUCGCGCGAUGUGAUGUUUUCAUUUGUAGCCAUCCAUUCCAAAUAGUUCCUUUUGUAGUUGAUCGCCCCUAUCAAAUCAAUUAUUUAUGUAAGCUAUUGUCUUGGAAACUCACUAAUUCUCACCUAUUUUCAAACCAGGAACUUUAUCCGACGGAAGUGCUAAAGAAAAAGUAACAACAUAUAAGAAUACUUAUGCUUGAUCCGCAAAUGUGGACGGAAGCUUCGUAUGAAGGGUGUGACGCAAUUGCGGAGCCUGGAUUCAUGCAGAGGGCAAAUCAAGCGCUGUACCGCAUGGCCAUAUGCCGGGCAUGUACACUUGCAAGCGGUAUAUUGCCGCGUUCCGCUUAGGCAGCCCAUUGGGACUCGCUUGUGGGCGUGCACAUGGCAGCAAGUUCGAGGGUGCGUCAAGAAAUCAGCAUAGCAAGUUUGUAAAAAGCACUGGUUAUUAAAUGUGUAAAUAGUUCAAUAGUAAUACGCUCUGGUGACAAACUUUGCUGCCCUGUUUCCAAUUGUUUACAUGGCUGGGAGAACCUAUUCAAGUAAAGCAAAUACAUUUUGAAAAUGUAAAAAAAACAACCGAUGUAUUAUUAGCUAACUAGCUACAGUGCAGGCUAACGCAAAUGACCUGCUAAAUGAGCUAUCUAGUUGGCCAGCUAGCUUUCUAGCCAACUUUACAUACUGUAUAAGUAACGUUAAAUUAAAUAUCACCCAGGUACCUAACUUCAUAUUAGCUAGCUAUCUUGAUGUAUUUAUCACUUUAUAAAACAAACGCCAAAUGCAUUUGUAGGUAGCUAGCUAACAGCCAUGGAGGAGGGUGAAAGGAUAGCAGCCCCAACUGUCAAAGUGAGUAGGCUAUUCGGGAUAUGGCAGGCAGGUACUUGUGUGUAGUUCCAGUCCCUUAGAAGUGAGGACAGAGAUAAUAGUAACAUAAUAUUCAGUGCUGUGUAAUUUUAGUACAAUGAAGUCUGUUUCUUGUGAGGUUCUGUCCUCUGAUAAAGAGCAAUGAAAGCCUGUACCAAUGAAGAGCAGUGGUUCUCAAUCCUGGUCCUAGGGAUUUAGAGGUGCACAUUUUUGUUUUUGCCUUAGCACUGCAUAGCUGAUUCAAAUGAUCAACUCAUCAAGUAGUAUUUCUGUAUUAAUUUGUGGAACUAUCCUUGAUAUGAUCCUGUGUGUGCAAAUGGACCUAUCAAUCCAAUGUUAUCAUGAAUUGUUAUAAGGGAUAACAUACUUUAGUAAUCCACAAUUACCUGGUGAUGUAAAAGUCUAAUAAUGACUGUCUUCCAUAUUACCACAGAUACCUUGUAACUAGAUUAUUUCAAACCGAUUGCCUACAGUUACUGUGUAGGGCACUGCAAGGUUGAGUGACCAGGGCCAUCUGGGACUGCCUCCUGGAGGAAUUCAGGUGUGUGAAGGCUACCUGUGUCCUGCAUAACUUCAUGAGGAUGGACACGAGGACCAGGAGGGGAUCUGCAGCUCCUGCCGCAUGCAAGAGGAGAAGUCUGGUGCUCUGCAGGAUGUUUCAAGGAUAGAUUACACUAUGCACAACCAAAGGCUCUUUUAAGAGCCAUCCACAUUGCAAUAGGAGUAUUCUUCAAUUUACUUAGCUAUGUCAACUGCUGUUAUUCAAUUCCUAGUUUCUCUCCCUUUGAUUUCUACUUCUCAGCUGAGGGUACUGUUUAGGUAAGGGUGUGACGUCGGUACAAAAACAAAACUGGCUAUUAUAAGUCACCCACAUUGAACAAUUAGACACCAUAACCCACACCUACACUCAUGUAUCAAUCUAAAUGAUGUGUUGUGCAGUAUGCAGGCUCUGGUGUAUAUAACUGUGGCUCCUUCAAAGAAUAGGCAAGAGGGCCAACCAUGGAGAAUAGUAAGACACUUCAUUAUUUCUAUGACUAUGCUAAAUUGUUUGUCCUCGUGUGUCCGUUCAUGUUUUUCAGCAUAAAGUACUCUGCAGCCACUUAGUGUGGACACCAGGUUAUAUCAGCUGUGUCGGUGAACCCCUCCCGCAUCUGAACUGGCUACAUAGAGGGCACAGCAUGAUCAGAGAUAUGUUUUUCUGUGAAAGAGGAUUCCAACCCCCCAGUCCCGUCAUCGCCACCUCACCCGCUCUUAAGAUAACCUUCGGGCCGACUGGGAGUCCAAGGCUGGUUAGGAGACACCACUAGAGACACUUAUGUCAUUUUGAUGAAAUGAAAGAAUAUUAGGGUAGCACUGUGAUUCAUUAAUCAUAUGCUGCCUUCCCUGCUCCAAUGUCCUUACCUCUUUCCCUUUGUCUUUUACACCUCUCUCGCCACGUUUCUUCCUCUAUUUUCAUAAUGCACAACAGAUGUGCAUUGAAGUACAGAUUGAACUUGUAUUUAUAACACUUGGAAAAUUAAGCAUUUCACAUUCUCUACUUGUUGAAAUUAAGUCUCUCAUUUGAUUAAAUACUACACCUGUC